GACGAACGCUGGCGGCGUGCUUAGCACAUGCAAGUCGAACGGAAAGGCCCUGCCUUUGUGGGGUGCUCGAGUGGCGAACGGGUGAGUAACACGUGAGUAACCUGCCCUUGACUUUGGGAUAACUUCAGGAAACUGGGGCUAAUACCGGAUAGGAGCUCCUGCUGCAUGGUGGGGGUUGGAAAGUUUCGGCGGUUGGGGAUGGACUCGCGGCUUAUCAGCUUGUUGGUGGGGUAGUGGCUUACCAAGGCUUUGACGGGUAGCCGGCCUGAGAGGGUGACCGGCCACAUUGGGACUGAGAUACGGCCCAGACUCCUACGGGAGGCAGCAGUGGGGAAUAUUGCACAAUGGGCGGAAGCCUGAUGCAGCAACGCCGCGUGCGGGAUGACGGCCUUCGGGUUGUAAACCGCUUUCGCCUGUGACGAAGCGUGAGUGACGGUAAUGGGUAAAGAAGCACCGGCUAACUACGUG
rnacentral:rRNA from 1 species